UUAUAAAAAAUAAAAAUCUGUUGUGUUUUCUGAACAAAGAUUCAGCGUGAUUUAUUAGGAAGUAUUAUUGGGUCAUAAGUCACACAAUGCUCCCCUCCC